rnacentral:lncRNA from 1 species
CGACUUUUAUCUCGUUCAAAUCUGUAAAUAAUAUAUUAAUGGUAAUCAUAGUUGUGAAGUUUCUGAAAUCUCAACGAAUCCUAGAACUUUCUGGAACCUUAGAACAUCAGGAAGAAUUGUUGGGAAGGCAUCUGCUUUAAGUCUUCUUCUUUGGAUAGGUCUACAUCUUUGGUUUCGAAAAGAAUAUGUAUCAUUUCUUCUAUUUAUAGAAUCUUUCUCCGAAAAAUGCCUACUAUAAAUUUUUGAAUGAUGGUCUAGCUCCUAAUAAUGCAUUCUAAUUGUUAUAAUCCAUUGCUUCAGAAGCUCAGGAUCUUAAGGAAAUUUAUGGAGAAAAUAACUUUCUCUCUUUGAAUUCUUAAGUUUCUUUUUCUUUGACUUGGGAAAACCAGUCCUGAAGCCAGGACAACAGCAAAUCAUUCUAUUGGAAAUAAGAAAAAAAAUAUGAACACACUUCGAGUUUGAGACGAUCGGCUACACCUUCCACGUG